rnacentral:lncRNA from 1 species
CUGCCUGCCACCAUGUAAGACCUGCCUUUGCCUCUCCUUUGUCCUCUGCCAUGAGUGUGAGGCCUCCCCAGCCAUGUGGAACUGUGAGUCCAUUAAACCUCCUUCUUUAUAAAUUCCCCAUUCUCAGGUAUGUCUUUAUUAGUAGCGUGAGAACAGAUGAGGCUCACUGGACUAGCUGGUGGGGGAGGAGAAAGCAGCCCAUGUUCCCUCUCUCAAGCAGGACCAUUUUGUUUUCCUCAGUUUCCCUCUUCCACUUCCACUUGGGGACCCCCACAGCCAUGGCCAGAGAGAGGGAGCUUGGGGUCCCAGUGCCUGGUACAAACUCACUCUGCCCCUCACUGCCCUUGGGGUCCCCACUCUGUGGGGUCAGGGACCGGGGUCCACAAGGAACUGCUUGUCGCCAUCUUCCCACCCCCCACCCCAAAGGGGCUUGAGCAUGUUCCCAGGCUCGCUUUCCCCACUGAAGGAGGGGUGGCUGUGUGAGUCCUUCCACUUCAUGACCCUCUCUGUUUCCUUAUAUGUUCAGCAAAGGCUUGACUGAAGUCACGGGUCUCAUCAUUCCUUUCCUAAGCUUUCUUCAAACAGCAUGGUGCGUGGAUGAGGACACACGUGCUCUGUAGAAGGUGGGGCCACAAAGCCCUGCCGACCGACCUUUCCUGCCUUCUGCCUCUAAGGUGCAACCCCGAAAGCACCUGCUGGAACCUUUGGGGCUCAGGGAGCACAGCCUGGAAGCAGGGGGAUACUCCCCAGGGCUGCAGUCCACCUCGGAAGCUGCUCACCACAGGUGUCUGCUUACACUUCAAUUCAGAUCACAUAAGAUACACAUGCAGCUCUUAGGCUUCUGAGCCACCCUUCAAGAGCACAGCCACUCGUGGCUAAUGGCUGCUGACUGGAACCCUGGAUGGCCCAAUCUGGAACUUUUCAUCACCCCAGAGCAUCCUGUGCAGUGCUUCUCCCGGGGAGCCCUGCAGGCAGUGACCUCCAGCUCCGAGCCUGAUCCCACAUGAGCAGGAAGAAGACAGCCCAGGGAGGCUGCCCACAGCCACAAGCUCAUUUCUCAUGGCAAACCACAAAUGGGAGAUGCUAAGAAAUUAGAAUAGAGGAUGCUCCAGAGCAGACGCUCCUGUUUACAGGUACCUGGUUCUAUACAGUCACGCAUGAAAGGAAAAUGGUGAUAUCUAAGAAACAGAGGAAUCCAUGGGCUCAACCAAUGAGGUCGUAAGGAGCUCUAGGAUGGGGGUGUCACAGAGGUCUCACAUGUUUAGGUGGGUGGAGAGUUUCAGAGCAUGACUGGUUGAUAAUAACUGGUAGGCACUGUUGGCGGACGGCAACCAUGCCAGGCAUAUAGCAGGGUGCUGCGUCUUCUCUAAUUCUCACUGCGGCCAAUGAGUUUAGAGAUUUUCACUCCCAUUUUAGAGAUCAGCUGAGACACAGAAAGGCCAAGCAGCUUCCUCAGUCAGAAAAGGGGCAGAGCCAGGGUUCACCCCCUGGCAGAGCCAUGCACCAGUUCUGCAGAGCCCAGGACGGGGUGAGGCCAGUCGUGAGGGACAGAGAAAGGCCUAAAGAAAGAGGAGGACAGAAAAAGGGCCCGUGUUGGACAGAGAAGGAGCGAUUACUGAGGCCUGAGGUCAGGCUCAUGGAGGGCACUGGCCUGUGGUCCGCAGUGGCAUUCAGAGCAUGCGUUGGUCCUUCCACCACCAUGUAUAGCUGGUGCCCUUGGAGAUUCCAUCUGCUUUCCUAUGGGGUCUGUGAGGUUGGACUUCGGGAGCCCAUUUCAUGGACCUGAACACUGAGUAUCAGAGGGAAGAGUUUGCCAGGGGUCAGCCUCUGUAUCCUCUCUCCCCACGCUACAUCUGAGAUUCACCCAGAGGGGCCCUUGGGGAAACACCCAGUUGUUGAGAGCAGCAGAUCUCAGACUUGGGCUUGCAUGAGGGUUCCCUGGAGGGUCUGUGACGGGGCCGGGGUGGGGCUGAGAAUGUGCAUUUCUAACACACAAACUCCUUUCAUCCUGCAGAGCUGAAACUCAGUACUCAUUAAACAACUCCCUCCUGCAGCCACGCUGGGAGCUGACACUCUCCACACAUGCUUCAUGCACCCAGGCGCUCAUCCAGGGAUCAUCCUGUACCUCAAAUACCCCCAAGAACUGUCCUGCCCCAGGACCUUUGCACAUGCUGGACCCACUA